UUCACAAUACAGUACAUGGGAAUAAUAUGUAUAUAGUGAAUAAAAUGGUAAAAUAAUGGUUUUGAUGGCUAGCCGCCAGCAAUAUCUAUUUAAUACAAUCCCAUCACCUAGAGCUCUUUAAGGCCGCCUUGUUUAGUUGUUGGGGUGAAAACAAAUUUUAGAUACUAUAGCAUUUUCGUUUGUAUCUAACAAUUAUUGUUCAAUUAUGGAUAAACUAUUUUUAAAAGAUAUACAAUUAGUUAUUGUUUUUAUCUAUAUUUAAUGCUCCAUGUAUGUGCCACAAGAUAGAAUUUUUUUAAAAAAAUGGUUUUUGGGUGAAACUAAAUUAAACAAGACCUUAGUUGACCUGCUGGCGUACAUGCAUAUGCAUGCAUGCAUGUUCCUUCUCAAACAUGAAGUCCGAGAGAGCAAGGGUUAAUUAGGAGGCCGAGUGAGAGCACCAUCAGCUAGCUGCUCGAUCAUGCCUUUUAUGUUCUCCACGCGGAUGCCAUCCGUGUCUACCCCGCGCGUUCCCACUAGGAAUCAAGCUCAGCACCAACCAACUUUACCUUCGUCCAAAAGAUAGUAACAUUUUGUUUUUUCUUAUAAAAGUAGUAACAUUUAUAUGGUAUAAAAAAGUUUCUACUUUUAUAGUAUACUACUAUUUGAAGAAGUCAUUAAUGUUGGCAAUAUUUCCUACCUAUAAAUCUAAUUAAAUUUAACUCGACCUAAUUUAGAAGGAAAAACGAGUUUAUAGGGCCGCCGAGAGGUACGCACGUGAUGGAUGCGAGAGAUGCAUGUAAAGCGUGGCCGGAUGGGACGAUGGAGCUACAGUGAGAUGUAGCGUAGCGUUGAGCCGUUCACACGUUUCACGGGGGGCCGUCGAUCGUCUUGCCCGUCCGAUCCGUACACAUGCGAUGCGAGCGCGUUGAGUGAGACGACGUCCGCCCGUGCGCGGUCAACGCGGGAAGGAAGGCCGGCGGCGGCGGGCGCACGCAGCCGCGGACGGGAACGUACGAGUACGACGGCCCAUCAUGCACCCAUGCGCGCGGCCACAUGCACGUGGAAUGAGUUUCUUUUUUUUUUUUCUUACCAUAAAGAUGAGGCGCGGCAAGUACAGCGCAGGGCGGCGCUGAUGAGUGUACUAGUGUUGUUGCAAUGCAGGUCAGUCAGGUCGUCGAUCCAUCCCCACAUGCCUCGCUGUUGAUUUAGGCCCUGUUAACUAAAGUUCCAAACACAUUGACUAAAAGAAGCUAAAAUAGUUUAGUUCCAUUAGUCACCCAAGAGUAGCUAAAAUAAUUUUAGCUAGCUAAAAUUUAGUUGGUGGAACCAAACAAGGCCUUAAUAUAGGAUAGAAUCAAUAUAUAAUGUCAAACGAAACAAACAAGUCUGUUUUUUCUUUUCAGCUGUAUUUUUUCUAGUAGCCGGUGGUGUUUUUUGGAACAAUAAAUCAACUAACAACCAGCGAACAGGCACAAACGAUCGGUUGGGACGCACUACAGCUAGCUCCCAAAUCCACAUGCCGGGGCUCGCAGUCGCAGCUGCUUCGGUUACUUGGCGCCUGGCCUAGCUGCACCGGCUCCGGCUCCCGACCGGCGGCCGCGCCGACCCAAUGGACAAGUCAAACCCGCACGGACAGGUCAAAGUCAAGUAGGAUAUGGCUAGCGACAACAACGACGUUGUUGUUGCGGUUUCGGUCCGCGUCGCUUUCUGCUGAUUUGAUUUUACUUAGGCCUUGUUUAGUUCACCCUAAAAAAUAGUUUUUUUUUUCAAAAUUUUCCGUCACAUCGAAUCUUGCGGUACAUGCAUGGAGCACUAAAUAUAGAUGAAAACAAAAACUAAUUGUACAGUUUACCUGUAAAUCGUGAAACGAAUCUUUUAAACCUAGUCACUCCAUAAUCAGACAAUGUUUAUAAAAUAAAAAUAAAAAUGAUACAGUGUGAAAAUCGUGAAAAUUUUUAGAACUAAACAAGGCCUUACCGGGGCGGAGAUCGACCUUGCCCUGCUGACCUGCCUGUCCCAG
rnacentral:lncRNA from 1 species